rnacentral:rRNA from 1 species
GACGAACGCUGGCGGCGUGCUUAACACAUGCAAGUCGAACGGUAAGGCCCUUCGGGGUACACGAGUGGCGAACGGGUGAGUAACACGUGGGUGAUCUGCCCUGCACUUCGGGAUAAGCCUGGGAAACUGGGUCUAAUACCGGAUAGGACCACUGCCUGCAUGGGUGGUGGUGGAAAGCUUUUGGGGUGUGGGAGAGUGGGCCCGCGGCCUAUCGGCUUGUUGGUGGGGUGAUGGCCUACCAAGGCGACGACGGGUAGCCGGCCUGAGAGGGUGACCGGCCACACGGGGACUGAGAUACGGCCCAGACUCCUACGGGAGGCAGCAGUGGGGAAUAUUGCACAAUGGGCGCAAGCCUGAUGCAGCGAGGCCGCGUGAGGGACGACGGCCUUCGGGUUGUAAACCUCUUUCAGCACCGACGAAGCGCAAGUGACGGUAGGUGCAGAAGAAGGAUCGGCCAACUACGUGCCAGCCGCCGCCGUAA